UACGGAGGGUGCAAGCGUUACUCGGAAUCACUGGGCGUAAAGGACGCGUAGGCGGGAUGCCAAGUCUGAUGUGAAAUCCUACAGCUCAACUGUAGAACUGCAUUGGAAACUGGUAACCUAGAGUAUGGGAGGGGGGGAUGGAAUUAGUGGUGUAGGGGUAAAAUCCGUAGAUAUCACUAGGAAUACCUAAAGCGAAGGCGAUCUCCUGGAACAAUACUGACGCUAAGGCGUGAAAGCGUGGGGAGCAAACGGGAUUAGAAACCCUAGUAGUCC
rnacentral:rRNA from 1 species